GGGAUUCCUUAAGUAAUUGCGAAUGAAAAAGGAUAUGCUCAGCUUGAAAAUUGAAGCUUCUGGUUUUGAAUUGUAGUUUUGAAAUGUAUUGCCGAUGGAGGUGCAGGUGUAAGCCUGUUGGAAAACAGUGUCAGUGAGGGUGAGGUGCCUUUUUGUCAUUUGCAGUCCUCCAAGCACGGUAUAUAUUUGACGAGUCACACUCCUUGGCAUUGGAAUGCAAAGUGGGUGGUAAAUUCCAUGAAAAGGGAAAUACAUUUUUGAGACUGAUAGCAAACAAGUACCAUGAGGGAAAUAUGAAAAGGACUUUGAAAAGAGAAUUAAAAGAGUCUGCAUUUGCUGAACAGAAAGCAAACAGAAUGAAUUCUGCUUGGUUAGAUUAUUGUGCCGUCUGCUUUGCUUUUGUGUUGCAUCAGGGUGCAAUGGUUCUUUCCUUGAAUGCCAGCUUUAUUUCUGCAAAUCGUAAUCUUUGUGCAUGAAUGGAAAUACGUCUGCGGGUAUUGGAUUGCAUGUGUUUGUGGUGAUUUGUGAUUUACCUAUAUGUGUGUCUUGUGUUGGUAGCUUGUGAGCUUAAGGGUUGUUUUCAUUCUUGAGCAUGGGAAAACCUUGAUUGCAUAUUUGCUGGCAACAUGUUUCUGCUUGACCCGUCUUGAAACACGGACCAAGGAGUCUAACAGAUGUGCAAAUUUGUGGGUGGGCAAACCUGUUUGUGAAAUGAAAGUAUUGGCUGGGAUACUUGCACCAGCAGCCGACCAAUUGGCAGACAGAGGUUUGAGCUUGAGCAUAUCUAUUAGGACCCGAAAGAUGGUGAACUAUGCCUGAACAGAAUGAAUUCAGAGGAAACUCUGAUGGAGGUUCGUAUCGUUACUGACGUGCAAAUCGUUCGUCAUACUUGGGUAUAGGGGCGAAAGACUAAUCGAACCAUCUAGUAGCUGGUUCCCUCCGAAGUUUCCCUCAGGAUAGCUGGAGUUGCACAGUUUUAUCAGGUAAAGCGAAUGAUUAGAGGAAUUGGGGGCAUGCUGUCCUUGACCUAUUCUCAAACUUUAAAUGGGUAAGAUGCAAUGGUUGCUUUUUUGAACUUUUGGAAUAAAUGGCAAUAUCAAGUGGGCCAUUUUUGGUAAGCAGAACUGGCGAUGAGGGAUGAACCUAACGUUGGGUUAAGGUGCUUAAUUGCUUGCUCAUUAGAUACCAGAAAGGGUGUUGGUUCAUUUAAACAGCAGGACGGUGGUCAUGGAAGUCGAAAUCCGCUAAGGAGUGUGUAACAACUCACCUGCCGAAUGGACUAGCCCCGAAAAUGGAUGGCGCUCAAGCGGGUGACCGAUACCCAACCACUGUUUCAAACAUAUCAGUGUGUAGGAGGGCAUGGAAGUU
rnacentral:rRNA from 1 species